ACCGGCUGGUGCCGAUCCCUGUGCCCUGCGGGCGCCUGGGCGCUGUGGCGGGGGCGCGGCGGAGACCUGCGGGGGCUGCUGGGCACCCCUCUCAGGCGUCUGCGCUGGGCCGGCUUGCAUGUCCACCCGAACGCUUCGCACUUCUUUGCCCUUGUCCUCGCAGCCUUAAAUCUGCGACCUUCCCUGGGGGCACAGUCUGGUCCUACUUGAUUGAUAGUUCUGUGUUUUGAGAGGUUUUAAAGCUCUUCAGCUCGGGACCUCGGCGCCCACACCACGCGCCCAGCUCCCUCACCCUCUGUCGGCAACGCGGCCACCACUGCUCACUGCCCCUCCUGCAUGGCCCCUGCCAACGCUAAUACCAGAGUUAGGCCGAUUGGAAAUGGAAGCUUUGUUUCACCUAAAUGUUUAUUUAGCAAAGAGUUCGUCCCCAACGUUAGUCGUAAUUGUGGAGUCGGUGUAAUUAGUUAUUAGCUUCUUUCUCUGCCUCUUCUCUGCCUUCCGCCGCGUGCCCAGAGCCCCAUUCGCAUUUCAUCGGAGAUGGACGUGCCACCUUCAGCUUCCACAGGGGAAGAGGCCCUGCCACAGUCAUUUAAAUGGAUUGUGUAGGGAUUCCUGACACAGCUAGCGAUUCAUUGAGGUGGCAAGAUAAACUGGCGGAAUGAGGCCUUUAUCAAAGGCCUUUAUCAAAGAGGAGUCUGCUAUCAAGUAAAUGCAAGGGCAUCUGCCACCAUCCACCCUGGGAGGCAAAAAGAAUAACCUUAGAUCUUAGGAUAAUCAUGAGAAGGGAUCCUUUGUCCCUAAAGGGAGAAAAAAAAAUGCCAAAAGAUUUUUUUUUUGUUUAAAUUUUUUUUUUUUUUUUGAGACGGAGUCUUGCUCUGUAGCCCAGGCUGGCGUGCAGUGGCGCCAUCUUGGCUCAUUGCAAGCUCCGCCUCCCGGGUUCACGCCAUUCUCUUGCCUCAGCCUCCCGAGUAGCUGGGACUACAGGCACCCGCCACCACGCCCGGCUAAAUUUUUGUAAUUUUUAGUAGAGACAGGGUUUCACCGUGUUAGCCAGGAUGGUCUCCAUCUCCUGACCUCGUGAUCCACCCGUCUCGGCCUCCCAAAGCCCUGGGAUUACAGGUGUGAGCCACUGUGCCUGGCCUAAAUUUUUUUUUUUGAGACAGAGUCUUGCUCUGUUGCCCAGGCUGGAGUACAGUGGCACAAUCUAGGCUCACUGCAAGCUCCACUUCCUAGGUUCAAGCGAUUCUCCUCCCUCAGCCUCCUGAGUAGCUGGGACAACAGGCAUGAGCCACCACGCCCGGCUAAUUUUUGUAUUUUUAGUAGCGACGGGGUUUCACCAUGUUGGCCAGACUGGUCUCGAACUCCUGACCUCAAAUGAUCGCCCGCCUCGGCCUCCCAAAGUGCUGGGGUUACAGGCGUGAGCCACUACACCCGGCCAGAUUUUUUUUUUCUUCACCACUAGGCUCAUUCUGUUGUGUCCAGGGAAAAGGUCAUGCUCGCCUUUGUGAGGUGUGCUUAAUAAUUCACAGCUUAGUAACAAAUUUGGGGAUCCUGAUCUGGAAUUGGAAGAUCCACGUCACCCUCCUUCAUGGACCUGGAGCUCCCCACUUCCACACCACCACCAGCGGGCACAUGCGGCAGAUGUUGACAUCUUGCUGGAGUUGCAACACUCAAGAAGAAACAAAAAGAAAAGACCUCCUCUGGCGUGGUCACCGGCCAGGUGGAGUCUGGCUCUGUUGCCCAGGCUGGAGUGCAAUGGCGUGAUCUCGGC
rnacentral:lncRNA from 10 species